rnacentral:rRNA from 1 species
CACUCCUACGGGAGGCAGCAGUGGGGAAUAUUGCACAAUGGGCGCAAGCCUGAUGCAGCCAUGCCGCGUGUAUGAAGAAGGCCUUCGGGUUGUAAAGUACUUUCAGCGGGGAGGAAGGCGAUAAGGUUAAUAACCUUGUCGAUUGACGUUACCCGCAGAAGAAGCACCGGCUAACUCCGUGCCAGCAGCCGCGGUAAUACGGAGGGUGCAAGCGUUAAUCGGAAUUACUGGGCGUAAAGCGCACGCAGGCGGUCUGUCAAGUCGGAUGUGAAAUCCCCGGGCUCAACCUGGGAACUGCAUUCGAAACUGGCAGGCUAGAGUCUUGUAGAGGGGGGUAGAAUUCCAGGUGUAGCGGUGAAAUGCGUAGAGAUCUGGAGGAAUACCGGUGGCGAAGGCGGCCCCCUGGACAAAGACUGACGCUCAGGUGCGAAAGCGUGGGGAGCAAACAGGAUUAGAUACCCCGGUAGUCCC